GCGAGUGUGGUGGAAUUGGUAUACACAGCAGACUUAAAAUCUGUCGGCGUAAGCCUUGCGGGUUCGAGUCCCGCCACUCGCACCA
rnacentral:tRNA from 1 species